rnacentral:rRNA from 1 species
AUGUUGGGUUAAGUCCCGCAACGAGCGCAACCCUUGUCUUCUGUUGCCAUCGGGUUAUGCCGGGCACUCUGAAGAGACUGCCGGUGACAAACCGGAGGAAGGUGGGGAUGACGUCAAGUCAGCAUGGCCUUUAUGUCUGGGGCCACACACGUGCUACAAUGGCCGGUACAAACCGUCGCGAUCUCGCGAGAGGGAGCUAAUCGGAGAAAGCCGGUCUCAGUUCGGAUUGUAGGCUGCAACUCGCCUGCAUGAAGUUGGAAUCGCUAGUAAUCGCGGAUCAGCACGCCGCGGUGAAUACGUUCCCGGGCCUUGUACACACCGCCCGUCACAUCACGAAAGCCGGCUGUACUAGAAGUCGCUGCGCUAACCCGCAAGGGGGGCAAGCGCUUAAGGUAUGGUCGGUGAUUGGGGUGAAGUCGUAACAAGGUAA